UUAUUAGCAUUCCAUGGCAUUUUCUCCAAGUUGCAAUAACAGAUGCCUUUACUGCUCAAGGGUCAUAUCAUUUCUGUCAUCUUAAUUUUAGCCAUCUGUGUACAUGAUACUGUGUUACUGGGGAAAUCCAUAAAAAGUUUUGUAAUGCAUUUCUGAAUCUUAGGAGAACAUAAGUUAUACAUAGCUACAUGGUUCUAAGAAUGGUAGUAAGACCCUUUAUCAAACUGUCCAGGCAUUAAUAGAUAAUAGACUUAUGGGGUUAUUCUUUUGAUAGUUGAAUUGUUGAUGAUAAUAACAUGUUACAGAAGAGUAACAUGUAUAUUGCAGUUUUUAAAAGGUGAGUUCUAUGUGAAGAAAAUCUGUGUGGAACAUUUUAAAGAUAUUCAGGAAACAAAGUAUACAGGUCUCAUCAGUCACUUCUCCAUUGUAUUUUAGGUAAUCUUACAGGUUAGGUUUUCCUUCCUAUAUCUCACUAAGUAAACUAUCAAUUUUUGAAAGUAGGGCUCCAGAGAUUAUUUUAUUUAUUAAUGUAAUGAUAAUAGAAUAUGAAUCAUGUAAAGUUCUUUGAGGGAUUCCCUAAUGGCUGGACUUUGUCCUAAGCCAUAUUCCAGCCCAAUGUUGCUGAGCUCUCGCAACACAACUUAUACAACUGAGCAUUUUUAGGCUCACAACCUAUUUUCAGAAGAUAGAGCUAGACGUUUUAUGUACCAAGUUAUUUUGUUUCUGUAUUACAUACUUUGUUUCUACUAGUUGAAGGUACCAGCAUUACAGAUACAGAAAGUGCAGAGCCAUUCCUACCCAGCAGGAGAAUUCAAAGUCACAAUUCCUUGAAGCACUAAAGAUAAGAAUUCCUAUAAGCACUGUGUCAAGUUUUCCACCACCCGCCCCAACAUCCACUGUGGACGAAGAAGUUGUGUAGGAUGGAGAUGGGAACAUGGCGGAAGUCGGCACAGCGGAGGUGAGAAGCUUGGCCCUUUGGCGGGGCCUGAAGAUUGCAGAGCAGUGUUGCAUGGAGAAGAGAGGGUCCAGGCUUGGGACAGCAGUGGUAACGUGUACAAUUCAUAGCAUCAGUGUGCUCCUUACACUCUGCCACAGAGACUACUUGCAAACGGAAAAAAUGUUAUUUUUAUACUUCAAAAGAAUUGUUAUGUUCCACUGUAACAUAUUUAAAUUAAAGCUUAUUAUUUGGUUA